UACGGAGGGUGCAAGCGUUAUUCGGAUUUAUUGGGCGUAAAGGGCGAGUAGGCGGCUGGGUAAGUCCGGUGUGAAAACGCUACCGCUUAACGGAGCGAAGUCACUGGAUACUAUCCGACUUGAGUGCGAGAGAGGUGAGCAGAAUACCUGGUGUAGCGGUGGAAUGCGUAGAUAUCAGGUAGAAUACCCGUGGCGUAGGCGGCUCACUGGCUCGCAACUGACGCUGAAUCGCGAAAGCGUGGGGAGCAAACGGG
rnacentral:rRNA from 1 species